GAAGUUUACAGGGAGUGCUGCAAGAUUGAGAUGCAGCAAACUCGCUGUGAACCCCCGCCCGUGUGACUGUACCCUAAAAACACUGCACUACACUACACUUAAAUAAAAUAAGUAAAAAAACACUAUAUAUACAUACCGCUACACAGCCCCCCUCCCCUCCCCAAUAAAUAUGAACAACGUCUGGUACGGCACUGUUUCCAAAAUGGAGCCUCCAGCUGUUGCAAAACAACAACUCCCAGUAUUGCCGGACAGCCAUUGACUGUCCAGGCAUGUUGGGAGUUUUGCAACAGCUGGAGGCACCCUGUUUGGGAAACACUGGUGUAGAAUACCCCUAUGUCCACCCCUAUGCAAAACCCUAAUUUAGGCCUCAAAUGCGCAUGGCGCUCUCACUUUGGAGACCUGUCGUAUUUCAAGGCAACAGACUAGGGUCACAUAUGGGGUAUCGCCGUACUCGGGAGAAAUUGCCUUACAGAUUUUGGGGGGCUUUUUCUCCUUUUACCCAUUAUGAAAAGGAACAGUUGGAGUCUACACCAGUAUGUUAAUGUAUAAAAAUAAAAUUAUUUACACUGACAUGCAGGUGUUGCCGCAUACUUUACAUUUUCACAAGAGGUAAAUGGGGAAAAAAGAUCCCCAUUUUUUGGGACACAAUUUAGCCAGAGUACGGAGAUACCAGAUAUGUGGGCGCAAAGUGCUCUGCGGGCGCACAACAAGGCCCAUAAGGUAGAGUGCACCAUGUACAUUUGAGGUGAUUUGCACAGGGGUGUCACAGAUGUUAAAUGAAGAAUAAGGACAUUGGUAUAAUUGAUGUGUUAUAAUUGGGUGCAAAAAGUGGUAUUAUUGUGAGAUUAAAACUCUACAUAAUGAAGAAAAAUUCUUACUGUUUAGGUGCAGAUACGCUGCAGACAAAGCUCCUACUAAAUAGAGCUGUGGUGUAAAUGUAUGCUCUGAGGAGAAUUCUAAAUUUAAACGCAAUUCAAAAAAGUAGCUGCACAAGAAUGAUAAAUUUAAUGCAGCUGCGCCAAAUUUAGACAACAGACAGAGGGGUAAAAAACUUCUAUUAUACACUAGAAAUGAUACAUGUCCCCCAGUGUGUGUAUAUAGAGGCAGUGUAUAUAUUUAUGAUGGAUGUGUGUGUGUAUAUACAGUGGCAGUGUAUGUGUAUAUAGUGGCAGUGUGUGUAUAUAGAGGCAGUGUAUAUAUUUAUGAUGGCUGUGUGUGUAUAUACAGUGGCAGUGUAUGUGUAUAGUGGCUGUAUAUGUGUGUAUGAUGGCAGUGUGUGUAUAUAGAGGCAGUGUAUAUGCAUAUAGAAGCUGUGUAUGUGUGUAUGAUGACCAUGUGUGUAUAAAGGGGCAGUGUGUGUAUAUAGAGGCAGUGCAUAUAUUUAUGAUGGCUGUGUGUGUAUAUAUAGUGGCAGUGUAUGUGUAUAGUGGCUGUAUAUGUGUGUAUGAUGGCAGUGUGUGUCUAUAUAGUAAAUGUAAAAUAUGUGUAGCUCCCUUAGGAUAAAAGGAAUAAUGUGCUUGAGGUUAAAGGUGUUGCCUUCACCCAAAAGGCCUAAUGUAAUAUGUAGAAAUGAUAAAUAUAAAAUAAUUAUGUGAACCAGUCCUCAAAAGCACAGGGGAGAGAAGAAAGGAAAGACUAGUGAAGAUAGGAUCUAAAAGAUGGGCUUUAUUAUGUAAAAAAGGGUAUAUAUAACCAAUCACCUAGCAGGGCCCUAUAUAUAUGCCCAUAUACUAGGUAAAAAAUAGGUAAGGUAAUUGAUAAAAUAACACAAUAAAAUGAUGGAUAAGUAGCACCCAAGAAAAUUAAUUAAUUAAAUUAAUCAGUAUCUGCUGCAUAUAUCAAGAAAAAACGUUCUCAGUCCAUAUAGUUCAUAGGAAUAAUUCAACAGAAUAUCCACAAAGAAUGUCCAGAAUAAAAGGUCUCAAUUAGUUCAGGUUUAUCUAGAGUAACGAGUAUAUGGUAGUAAAUGUAGCGACAGUAGCUACAAUAAAAAGUUCAUAGACAAAUCUUCAGUUAUAGCGGUGAUGUGCCUGUCAAAGUUAUAUCUUUGUGGCGGCUGAGUUAAAUAAUGCAGACAAUGUAGCAAACACUGUCAGCGGUGAAAAUGUCAAGUCUCGGUGCACAGCACUACUCACCCGCCUUCGGAAUCCUCAGGUCCGGGCAUGCACGGCUGAGUCUGGCACUUUGGAUAUCGGUGCCCGUCUGAGUGGUAUGCUGGGUGAGUGGCUGAGUCUCCGGGGGUCCGAGUGUCCUGGGCUGGCACGGGAGGCGUCCGGCCUUGGGGAGGAUGAUGUCCAGGAGUAACUCUGCCGACCGGGGCUGUGAGUGGAUGCAGGUAACAGGUGGUGCGGAUUGCACGUGUGAAUAAGGUGCUAACAGCGCGCGUGCAGCAGUGGUCCCAGAAUCGCAGGCAUCCAGCUGUUGCAAAUGGAAUAUGGCAGAUACGGUCUGUUUAAAGUGAUAUACACUUAUGGAUGGGGCUUGUAGCCUCUCUCCCCCCUUCCAUUGUAUGUGUGCUUAGUCACGCUGGAGGGAACUGGGAGCAGGCUGCAUGUCGACCUAGUGCUGCUGUAAUUGCCCACUGGUCCCUUUAUACGCACAGGUAGGUUAGCGUUAGGUCCCGUGCCAUCUGAGAAACCUUGGCGUUGGUGUGCGGGCUCUGGUGUGUCCUUAAUAUAAGGAUACACUAGCGAAUGUCUCAAUUUUAACAUCAGUGUUGAGGGAUUAGCCAAUGUCAUUGUAUACAUCUACCACAGUAGUGCACCUAAAUUUCUGUAUUGUAUUACACUUAUGGAUAAGGUGCAGAUAUUGGGCUAGACGCGUUUCAAGACCGCAGGCCUUUUCUUCAGUAGCUAUAAGUAUGGAUAAAGGGUAGAAAGGCAAAUUUUAUAUAGUCUUCAUACAGUGAUGUAAUACUAAUUGGAAAAAAAAAAUGUGGAGACUGGAAGUUUCAAGUGUGUUGUAAAAUGAGUAAUGGAUCCAGAUAGAGAAUGGGAAUAGAAGAAAAAAAGAAAAGAAAACAUAAGGAUAGAGAUGGAGAAUUAGAUAUAUAAGUGUGAGUGUCAGAUGGGAUGUGUAGAAUAGUGAAAAAGAGAAAAUAAUGGUCAUUGGGUAUGUGUAGAAAUACACUAUGGAUCAAGAUUUGAGUUAAAAUGAACCAUAGUGGGAAUCAUGAGAAAAAAUACGGAUAAUAAAAUUCCUAAAAAGAGGAUAAGGAUCUGCUGACAAAAUAAGGAACCAAUGAUGUCCGGGUGUCAAACUAUGCAGAGAAGAUGUAGCUGGAAGAAGUCCUGACGUCUGGACCGGAUGAGGAAGAAAAGGAAAGACGUCACUCAGGUCACUGAUAUUGUCUGCUUUUUAUAUUGCCCACACCUGCUACUUGCCCCAGAAAUGUCUAAUAAUAACAAUAGUGGCUCAGGGCCAGCAGAGGAUAAUGCCAAUGUACUAGAACCCUCUCAGGAAUCUUCUGGACAGAAAAGGAAACGUAGUGGCUAUGUUAAGAAAAAAAAAAUUCAGAACAGGAAACGCGAGUUUUAGUAGAAGAGGUUGUCCCACACUACCAUCAAUUGUUUAUUGAUAAAUCACCAUGUAAUACCUAUAGUGUUCGCAAUGCUAUAUGGGAUAGAAUACUUUUGGCCGCAAAUGCUGUGGGAGUAAAUUGCCGAACCCUAAAGGAGAUUAAAAAAAUAUUUACCGAUCUACGCAGUUUGGUUAAAAAAAAAAUGGGCAGGCUAAAUCAGCAAAGAAGAAGAACUAGUGGUGGACCACCUGAAGAAAUACAUUUUUCAACCAUUGAAGAAUUAAUUAAAUCCACAUACUCUACCGAGCAGAUAGCUGGAGUUGGGAAUCUUGACCUCAUGGCGUUGGCACAGGAACGGAGAGCCCAGGAAAUUGAAAGCCAACCAUCACAUGCAGAAGAUACAACACUAGCGAACAUAGAAGAAACAGAAAAUGAACAUAACAUGCUAGACAACCAACCAACUGCUAAUCCACCGGAUUCAAAUGUUAGGGACGAUAUAGGUUUUACUCCUGCCCAAGCUUCAUUUCUGAAUGAUUACACAGAGCGGACACAAGCUAAUCUUAAAGAUAAAGGAAUCAUGGCUGCCUCCGGGAUAUGAUGCUACGACAUCCAGAAUUUCCAUGUUGGGCCCACAAAUAAUCUGCACAUUUAAGGAAUGAUAGAGUUUCCUAUUGCAGUAGCUUGCCUCCACUGCUGCGGGAGAUAUCAAUGCUAUAUGUGUGCAGUCAAUCAGACCCACCAAAUUCGGAAAACCUUGACUUAGAAUAAAAAUUUUCUUUUAAAAAUCUAAACUCUUGCUCUGAAGUGGGAAAUUUGAUGAAUUCAUGGGAAAUCUCAACAAGGGCAUCUAUAACUUCGUGAAGAAUUCGUGAGAACGAAGAUUGAGUAAAACCAAGGUAUUGCUUUUGACCGACGAGUUGGCUUUUCAAGAAGAAGACAGAUGCGUCUGUAAAGAUCCUCGAUUGCUGCUUUGAUUUAGAGAUAACACAAUAACACGAUGUCGCCACAUGGACCUAACAAAAGGCUUAAAAAGGUAACUGAAGCCAGCAAACAUGGGAAAUCCCCCAAAAAAAGGAGCCAAGCUUUCAGAGAUGAAGAACUAGUUGAAUUAGUGCACAUGAUUGAUGAGUUGACCUGCCGAAAGCCUCCUCCAGGGUCAAUACACAAAGAAAAAAGAAAAAUAAUGAGUGAAGUGGCAGCACAUUUGUCCGCAAAAUUUGGAACGAGCUACACACCAAACCAAGUUAAGAAAAGAUUUUCAGAUCUUAAAGUGCGAGAAUAUCACCGACUUGGAGCUAUACGUCGCAAGCUGUGUGAAGGAAAAAUCGAUGGAUUGAAUAAUGGACAAACUUCCCUGUCAAGCAACCUUGUGUCCUCCAGCAAGGAAAAUGUUAUUCCAGGAUCACCGGACCCCAAUUUGAUAGGUAAAUGUAACUAAUGAAAGUUGUGAGAUCAUAACUUUAGACCUCCAACCGAUCAUCUCGGAAACCAACGUCUAACUUUGAAUUUGCUAAUUCUACUGUACUAAACCAUGACAGCAUUUCCCAAAUUAUUAAUGAGGCUUGCAUAAAACUUGAAGAAAAGUUGUCACAAGAAAUGAAGAGCAUGUUUAACAAUUUGGAGAGCAUGAUUACUCAAAAGUUAGAUCGUCUGUUUUUGAAAAUGGAGGCAUUGGAGAAAAACAGCCUGCUGAUUUCAUCGUAAUUUUUGGGUGUUUUCUGUCUUGUUUGCAAUAUGAAUUUUUUUAUUGCGUUCUUUGUGUAAAUCUUGUAAAAUUGUUAUUUGGUCAAAUAAUUUAUGUUGUCUCCAUGACUAUAACAUUUGUCAUUUAGCAAGAAUUGCUAAAUAAUCCUAUCCCCCCCCCCCCCCCCCCCCCACAAAAAAAAACAUGUUCUUGCUAAGCCUUCAAAUGUUGCAAUGGGACAAAGUUGGAAUAAAUCAUUUCAAAGCAUUUGUUAGAACUUGUAAAAAAAUGUUAAGCCUACAAGUCCUGUGUUUGUUUUUUGUGUUAUUUGGUUAA